rnacentral:rRNA from 1 species
CCUACGGGUGGCAGCAGUGAGGAAUAUUGGUCAAUGGACGGAAGUCUGAACCAGCCAAGUCGCGUGCAGGAUGACGGCUCUAUGAGUUGUAAACUGCUUUUGUACAAGGGUAAACCUGAACACGUGUAUUUAGUUGUAAGUACUGUAAGAAUAAGGGUCGGCUAACUUCGUGCCAGCAGCCGCGGUAAUACGGCGGAUCCAAGCGUUAUCCCGAUUUCUUGGGUUUAAAGGGGGCGUAGGUGGGUUGAUAAGUUAGUGUGGAAAUGUUCGAGCUUAACUCGGGAACUGCUGCUAAUACUGGUGAUCUAGAGUGCAGAUGCGGAAGGCGGAAGGUAUGGUGUAGCGGUGAAAUGCUUAGAGAUCAUACAGAACACCGAUUGCGAAGGCAGCUUACCAAUCUAUAACUGACGUUGUGUCACGAAAGCGUGGGGAGCAAACAGGAUUAGAUACCCCUGUAGUC